CAGAAGGUAGUUUAAGUAAAAUACUAGUUUUGGAGAUUAGUAAUGGAUUGUAAUCCCUUUCUGA
rnacentral:tRNA from 1 species